GAUGAACGCUGGCGGCGUGCCUAAUACAUGCAAGUCGAGCGAACAGACGAGGAGCUUGCUCCUUUGACGUUAGCGGCGGACGUGUGAGUAACACGUAGGUAACCUACCUAUAAGACUGGGAUAACUUCGGGAAACCGGAGCUAAUACCGGAUAAUAUUUCGAACCGCAUGGUUCGUUAGUGAAAGUUGGCUUUGCUAUCACUUAUCGAUGGACCUGCGCCGUAUUAGCUAGUUGGUAAGGUAACGGCUUACCAAGGCAACGAUACGUAGCCGACCUGAGAGGGUGAUCGGCCACACUGGAACUGAGAAACGGUCCAGACUACUACGGGAGGCAGCAGUAGGGAAUCUUCCGCAAUGGGCGAAAGCCUGACGGAGCAACGCCGAGUGAGUGAUGAAGGUCUUCGGAUCGUAAAACUCUGUUAUUAGGGAAGAACAAACGUGUAAGUAACUGUGCACGUCUUGACGGUACCUAAUCAGAAAGCCACGGCUAACUACGUG
rnacentral:rRNA from 1 species